UGAUUUACUUCACAAUUUAUCAAAAGUCCAAACCUUAAUUGUUCCAAAACUGUAAAUCAGACGAGCACGAUUGGAUAGCCCAAGUGGUGGGUUUAUCCUUUGUUGUCCUGGGACAAUCGGGUUCGACUCUGACUCAUCUGAGAAGUAUUUGAACAGAUAAUAAUUUGUAAGGCAUAUAAGUCUAUAUUGUCAAAAAAAAAAAAAACUGUAAAUCAGACUGAUAAUAUCCGCUUACAGGCAUGGAGACUCUAUGAAGAAGAAAGAUGUUUGGAGCUGCUUGAUGAGGCCGCGAUGGAUUCAUAUAACCAAUCUGAAGUUUUCCGAACU
rnacentral:lncRNA from 1 species